GACGGUCGGUCCAAGACCCAGCCUGUGGCACCACUGGACACAGAAGUCUUCCUCAGCUGCUCUGCAUUGAACGAUCACUGUGGGAUAAUGUCAUCAAAAUAGACAAAGGAUGGUCUGGAGAAUCUCACUUCCUACUUCUCAGGAAGCUAAAUGGGAAUUCCAGCAUUCUGAGGUGAGGGUUUCCUCAACUAGCCCACCAUGGAGAAGGUGAUACAGGACUGAGUGGAAGAAAGGCCACUGACUCGGAAUACUGGGAGACUUGUCAAGUCAUCUAGCACGUCUGACUGUCAAUCCAUACAUAAAACAGAGAAAUACACACCAACGUGAGACAAAAAGAACUGGAGUCUGGUGAGAUAGAGAAGAACUAGAGAGUACACACAGAACAUAAAUAGGACAUGUGUGGUACAAGAAGAGGAGAAGUCAAGAUUCAGCUGGACAGAGGCUCCCUGAGUCAGCAUUUCCAAUGGUUUGUUUCAUGUUUAUCCAGUCUCUAUGGUGUUUUAUACAGGUUUUGUUGAAAAGAGCCAUGUGGGCAAGUUAAGUUGAAAAAUUUGGAUUAAGCAAAUGUGAUCAGGUUCCUUUAUUCUUCUUAGUGCUCUGUGCUAAUACAUAUGGAACCCAAUGGGAGGGGAAGACAGAGGUGGGAGGAUGUCCCAACUUAUUUCAACACAAACCCCAUUUUUUAUAGAGCAGCCAGUGAGAUUAGUACUUCAUAAAACACACUUGAGAACAUCUUAUCAAGAAAAACUAAAAGUUUAUAUGAAUUCUUACAGAGGUGGAAUUGAAUGUUAUCACUAGAAUUUUGCGAUUUUUAAUUUGUUAUAUGGUUCAGUAAACAAAAAAAUGAUAAUAAAAUUUCAGAGUAUCUAUUUGAACAAGGUUGUCCCUACUGAAACACUCCAGUCAAUGCCCCCACUGGCAGAAUAGGCAAAGCAGUAAAUCUGCAGCACACAUUUUGUUACUGAAACACCAGGGUUCAGUCGAGGUCCUGCUGCUGGCGACACAGAAAGCCAAUCACUGAGACAACAUGUACUCCAGGGAAGAAGGCUUUAAUCAGUCUCUCCAGCCAAGGAGAU